CCCAGACUCCUACGGGAGGCAGCAGUGGGGAAUAUUGGGCAAUGGGCGCAAGCCUGACCCAGCAACGCCGCGUGAAGGAAGAAGGCUUUCGGGUUGUAAACUUCUUUUAAGAGGGAAGAGUAGAAGACGGUACCUCUUGAAUAAGCCACGACUAACUACGUGCCAGCAGCCGCGGUAAUACGUAGGUGGCAAGCGUUGUCCGGAUUUACUGGGUGUAAAGGGCGUGUAGCCGGGCUGACAAGUCAGAUGUGAAAUCCGCGGGCUUAACCCGCGAACUGCAUUUGAAACUAUUGGUCUUGAGUACCGGAGAGGUCAUCGGAAUUCCUUGUGUAGCGGUGAAAUGCGUAGAUAUAAGGAAGAACACCAGUGGCGAGGGCGGAUGACUGGACGGCAACUGACGGUGAAGCGCGAAAGCGUGGGGAGCAAACAGGAUUAGAUACCCCAGUA
rnacentral:rRNA from 1 species